CCUACGGGAGGCAGCAGUGAGGAAUAUUGGUCAAUGGGCGCGAGCCUGAACCAGCCAAGUAGCGUGAAGGAUGACUGCCCUACGGGUUGUAAACCUCUUUUGUCAGGGAGCAACGCCGGCUACGUGUAGCCGGACUGAGAGUACCUGAAGAAAAAGCAUCGGCUAACUCCGUGCCAGCAGCCGCGGUAAUACGGGGGAUGCGAGCGUUAUCCGGAUUUAUUGGGUUUAAAGGGUGCGUAGGCGGAAUGCCAAGUCAGCGGUAAAAUCGCGGGGCUCAACCUCGCUCCGCCGUUGAAACUGGCGUGCUUGAGUGGGCGAGAGGUAUGCGGAAUGCGAGGUGUAGCGGUGAAAUGCAUAGAGAUCACGAAGAACUCCGAUUGCGAAGGCAGCAUACCGGCGCCCAACUGACGCUGAAGCACGAAAGCGUGGGGAGCAAACAGGAUUAGAUACCCGUGUAGUC
rnacentral:rRNA from 1 species